rnacentral:rRNA from 1 species
UACAGAGGUCCCAAGCGUUGUUCGGAUUCACUGGGCGUAAAGGGUGCGUAGGUGGUGAGGUAAGUCGGAUGUGAAAUCUCCAAGCUCAACUUGGAACUGCAUUGGAAACUACCUUGCUAGAGGAUUUGAGGGGGGGAUUGGAAUUCCUGGUGUAGCGGUGGAAUGCGCAGAUAUCAGGAGGAACACCAAUAGCGAAGGCAGCUCGCUGGGACGUUACUGACACUGAGGCGCGAAAGCGUGGGGAGCGAACAGG